rnacentral:misc_RNA from 1 species
AACAAUUAAUUAAAAGGGCAAAAUAAUAAUUAUAUUGAUUUUCAUCCCAAUUUGGGUUUAAAGGAUUAGUGGGCCUAAUAGAGUCAUUUCUCAUAAUUUUUUUCUCCCCUUCUCCUUCAUUCACCAAACAAAGGAAAGUGAUAAUAUCCCUUACUUUCUUCCCCUCCACUUUCACAUCCCUCACUAUCCUCGGAGAAAGGGUAAAUGAGCAGAGGUUAGCUUCACAAAUGAAGGCAAAAAGUCUCAAAAUAAUCCAGUCUUAAGGCAGAGUACAACCUUAGCAAAAAGAUUAGCUUCCAACAAUUCAAGGCUGUGACUGGCAUUAACUUUAACAGUGUUAUUGGAGUUCAAAGCAUCCCAGCCAUACUAUGAGCAGAAUGGUAAUCUAAGAUAAGGAUCUUAUGAAGGUAGGAAAAAUAAAAAGAAGAGAUAUACAAACAAAAAAAUGAAGUUAGAAAUAUGAUGAACAAUGAUAAUUUACCUUUUCCUUUCCAAAUUGUUUAUAAUCAUUGCUUAAAAUUCUCACUCUAGUAUACUUGUUUAUCAAUACAGUUAAGACUAUGAUUUCCUGACAAUUCUAAAUCAGUGUGUGGUUGUUGUGGGUUGUAAGUACCUCCAUAUCAUUAGUUUUGAGGUUGUAAAAUUCCUUUAGUUGCUAAUUGAAGAUUAAAUGAGAAAGAAAAAUGGUAUAAAUACAGAUGAUCUAAUAAUUUUGGACUAUUUUUGAGAGCCAAUGUUGAAAGUGUAUGUGGG